UACGGAGGGCGCGAGCGUUGUUCGGAAUCAUUGGGCGUAAAGCGCGUGUAGGCGGCUUGGUAAGACGAGUGUGAAAGCCCGGGGCUCAACCCCGGAAGGUCGCUCGAAACUGCCUGGCUAGAGUCCCGGAGAGGAAGGCGGAAUUCCCGGUGUAGAGGUGAAAUUCGUAGAUAUCGGGAGGAACACCAGCGGCGAAGACGGCCUUCUGCACGGUGACUGACGCUGAGACGCGAAAGCGUGGGGAGCACACAGG
rnacentral:rRNA from 1 species